rnacentral:rRNA from 1 species
AUGAACGCUGGCGGCGUGCUUAACGCAUGCAAGUCGAACGAAGCACUUUAUUUGAUUUCCUUCGGGACUGAUUAUUUUGUGACUGAGUGGCGGACGGGUGAGUAACGCGUGGGUAACCUGCCUUGUACAGGGGGAUAACAGUUGGAAACGGCUGCUAAUACCGCAUAAGCGCACAGCAUCGCAUGAUGCAGUGUGAAAAACUCCGGUGGUAUAAGAUGGACCCGCGUUGGAUUAGCUAGUUGGUGAGGUAACGGCCCACCAAGGCGACGAUCCAUAGCCGACCUGAGAGGGUGACCGGCCACAUUGGGACUGAGACACGGCCCAAACUCCUACGGGAGGCAGCAGUGGGGAAUAUUGCACAAUGGGCGAAAGCCUGAUGCAGCGACGCCGCGUGAGCGAAGAAGUAUUUCGGUAUGUAAAGCUCUAUCAGCAGGGAAGAUAAUGACGGUACCUGACUAAGAAGCACCGGCUAAAUACGUG